AACGUCAACAGACAAGCUCCAACCCAGGUUAAAACUUUUAUCAGAUAAAUCAGGAUAGUGUAUGUACGAUUAGAACUGUUCAGCAACAACUGUAUACUGAUUGUAUUUAUGUAUAGUCUGGGGCACACCAAACAUACGGUCCCAACGUCCUGACGACUGCACCAAACGUUAUCUUCUUUUUCGCCCCCAUUCAUUAAUUUGUCCAAUCCCGUCGUUCACGCCAUUUGCAAAAUGAAAUACACAUACAAGAUUCUUUAAAUAGAGUUUCGAUAAAGUUCAUCAUAUCAUAUGGAUUGAUUAUUCAGAUUUUUAUGCCCCACAUAGGAAAAUUUUGUUUUUAGGUCUGGGGAACUGUGCGUUCGUUCGUUUGUACGUACGUCCGUCUGUCCGCUAAAGUUUUUGUCAUUUUGAUCAAGGUAGAUUUAGUUGCAGUCAAACAACUUAGACGAUACACAUGUUCCUUAUGAUAUCAUCUUUCUAAUUUUAUUGCCAAAUUAGAGAUUUGAACACAAUUUCACAGUCAACUGAACAUAUACAAUGAAUAGUGCGUGUGGGGCAUCCGUUUACUUUGGACCACAGGCACUAGACUUUCUGUCAAUUAGUAAAACAUUGGCAAUGGGAAGAAAAGUUUCCAUAUAAUAUAUAAAUAUUACUAUUAACAGAACGUCUUAUGCGUCUGUGCCUGUGUAUUGACAUAUUUUUAUUUAUACAAUUACUGCACACGUCACAUGUCCUCACAUCUGAAUCAAAACAUAAAAAAAUAACAUUUCUGAUCCAUUUGCAUAAACAUAGGAAGAAAACAUCCUGACUCCGAACUGGCCAGUCGGCUCCUAAUCGGGAAAGCUGUGUGCUUAACGAAGAAGCAGCAAAUCCCAAUUUUCAAGUUUUUGUUAAACUGAGGCUCCCCACACUCUUAUAAGCGAACAUGUUCGUGUCGAGCCUGCGAAUUUUGUCGCAGAAAGCUCGACAUAGGGAUAGUGAUUCGGCGGCUGCGGCGUUAGCUAACUUCUUAAAAGCUUUAUAUUUUAGAAGAUGGAAGACCUGGAUGCUUCAUACUUUGUGGAAAAUGGAAAAAUUGUUAGCAGUACAUGCCUGCCUGGCAUGGUUCAUCUGACCUUGACCUCAAUUUCAUGGUUCAUUGGUCAAUGUUUAGUUUUCUUGGUUAAUGUUAAGUUUAUGUAACAGUUGUAAUAUAGCUUUUUAUUAAGAACUAUCAACACAAUAUCAAUGAUUAGUAAAGAAGGCGAGACAUUUCAGCAUGUGUACACUUGCUUAGUACUAUUAACAAUCACGAACCACCGAAAAAUGUGUUUGUUUGUAUUGCUUGACCUUUAUGGGUGUAAUUUUGCAAUAAAGAUUAUUUAUUUAGUACAUAUUUCUUUGUGCAGAAGUAACUAUUGACAUAAUUUGUAUCGUCCCCUCCUGUCCUUACAAAAAUAUCAAUUUACAUAAUUCGAUAAUGAUGAAAACAUAGUAGUGCAUGGUUAACAAAAAAAAAACAAACCCUACCACCGAAAAAGCAAAAAAAAAAAAAAAAAAAAUAGGAUAUGAAAUACAUGUAGAUAAGACUAGACUAAUAUGAAAUGUGAUAAACUAGGCUUGAAUAAGUUCGGUAAGGGUCAUAUUUGGCCCCAAUUAUAAAGUUCAUAGUUACAAGACAAUAAACUGCUUUUAGUUGCCUUAAAGACAUGUGAGAAAGUUAAACAGAACUGUUUUUGUCAAAGUUUAAUUCUAACACGUUGAUUUUUACAUCCCAAAAAGGUCAAGAUAAUGGAUUUUUGUGAAAUUUGACAAAAUCAGCUGGAUUUCAACCAAAUAAAGGACCAGGAAACAUAGAGCGCAGGCGUCGACAAGCUUAAUAUUCAAAUAAGACAUGUGAAAUGUCUUCACAAACAUUAUUUUUAAAAGAUCUUUGUUGUCGACGUAUGCGCUCUAUGUUUCCUGUCCAAUAAUCUAUGAAAAUUUACCCAUUUUCAUAUGAGUACAACUCGUGACGUCAUAAUGAAACCGCAAAACGUGAAUUUUCAAUAAAAUGGUUUAUAUCCUAUCUAGUCAAUGUAUUAGCUAUAAUUUAUCGUGAUAUUGUUAAACAAAUCCGAAUUUGAAAUUUAAGCUAAAAAAGGGGGCCAUUUUAGGACCUUAUCGAACAUACUCCAAAUUUCAUUUGCUCGCUUAUUCACUUUACACACCUAAUUGUAAUAAUACAAAUUUGUAUAACUAAAACUAAAGAUUGUGAUAAAUGUUUGUUUAAAUUUAACCCAUAUGAUCCCUAAUUAAUAAACAUGGAUGUUAAGCUGGACCGUACGCGUAUGGUCGGACCGUACGAGUAUACGUAUACGGUUCGGUCCGUACGCGUACGGGCCAAUUACUCAUAUGGUCUGGAACAUAUACAUAACACAUGCUUGCAUCAUUAUGAUUAUAGAUCUACAGUCUAGAUCUGUUGCUAUUUUAUUUAAAAUUUGAAUGCUUCCAGUUUUUCGUUAGUUUACCGUACACUUUAUUGUGAAACAUCGUGUCAUCAUGAAUGUUACAUUUCAUUGUGUAAUAAAUGUUUAUUUCAGAAGGACGCGAGAUUACUGUAAACCAAUCAAAAUAUCGUAUCAUAAUGAAUCAUAAAUGCAAUGUAUUUUUUAAAUGUCACCAACUUUAUAUUUAAAUGAAUAAUUUUUUACAUAAAAUGUUUGAAUUUGAUAUUUCAGGCAGACGAAGAAGCAAGCAUGGAGUUUUCCACGCAGCUAAGAUAUAUUGUAUUGGUGUUUUCUGUGUUGAUAGAAUACAUAUCAUGUGCAAACGAUACAUUAGGUAAUUGUUUUUUUUUCUUUCUUCAUAUUAUCAGGUGUUAAUACUUAUCAUCUAUAUACAUGUACUUGUUUCAAAGUUAAAAGGAAACAUCGAAAUUUAUGCAAACGCUCUUUUCCAUUUUAUACACAGAGAAAUGUUUUUUCGAGUCCGUUAGUUGGACCGGUAACAGUUCGUUGUUGCAAUACUAUUGAUUUAAGAAACUUUUUCAAAAUAAAAGUAAGAAUUGUUCUUAUUCGUAAUCAUACAAGUGUUUCCCAUAUUGAUUUUAGAAUACAUCUUUGAUCAAUUGCUGGCAUUUAUAAGACCUUGUAAAAAAAAAUCAAUUAAUAAACCAUGUAUUUGUAUUUCAGUGAAUUACUAUGGUCAUCCUGAUAUAAAGGCAGAGAGACUUUAUGAUAUGGCGAUGGGUAUUGUUGUUGGUGUUAGUUUCUCUGCUGUGUUCUUGGUUAUUCUGCUGAUGACUUUUGUCUAUUAUCGAAGUAUAAAGGCAUAAACAGUAAUGAAAUUUUGAUAGAUAGCAAGCUCGUGAAAAUGACAACAAAGGAUUGCAACGUGAUAGCUAUUAUUCUAUUAUCUACUAAUACUUUAUUCCUCAGAUUAGUGUAACUGAUUUCAACAUUAUAUUCAUUUUGGUUACU
rnacentral:lncRNA from 1 species